GGGCCUAUAGUAUAGUGGUAGAACGCCUCCGUGGCACGGAGGAGGUCGGGGUUCGAUUCCCCGUAGGUCCACCA
rnacentral:tRNA from 1 species